AAGGCUUUAAGUUAAACCAAACUAAUAUCCUUCAAAGUUAUAAAUAAAGAAACUUCUUUAAGUCUUA
rnacentral:tRNA from 1 species